rnacentral:rRNA from 1 species
AGUGAACGCUGGCGGCAGGCCUAACACAUGCAAGUCGAGCGGCAGCGCGGGGGCAACCCUGGCGGCGAGCGGCGGACGGGUGAGGAAUUCGUCGGAAUCUGCCUUUUUGUGGGGGAUAACGUAGGGAAACUUACGCUAAUACCGCAUACGUCCUACGGGAGAAAGUGGGGGACCGCAAGGCCUCACGCAGAAAGAUGAGCCGACGACCGAUUAGCUAGUUGGUGGGGUAAAGGCCCACCAAGGCGACGAUCGGUAGCUGGUCUGAGAGGAUGAUCAGCCACACUGGGACUGAGACACGGCCCAGACUCCUACGGGAGGCAGCAGUGGGGAAUAUUGGACAAUGGGCACAAGCCUGAUCCAGCCAUGCCGCGUGUGUGAAGAAGGCCUUCGGGUUGUAAAGCACUUUUGUCCGGAAAGAAAUCCCUGGAGCUAAUACCUUCGGGGGAUGACGGUACCGGAAGAAUAAGCACCGGCUAACUUCGU